rnacentral:rRNA from 1 species
UACGGAGGGGGCGAGCGUUAUUCGGAAUUAUUGGGCGUAAAGGGCAGGUAGGCGGCCUCGUUAGUCCUUUGUGAAAGCCCUCGGCUUAACCGGGGAAUUGCAGGGGAAACUGCGGGGCUUGAGUCCGGGAGAGGAGAGUGGAAUUCCCAGUGUAGCGGUGAAAUGCGUAGAUACUGGGAGGAACACCGGUGGCGAAGGCGGCUCUCUGGACCGGUACUGACGCUGAGCUGCGAAAGCUAGGGGAGCAAACGGG